ACUAACAAGGAUUCCCCUAGUAACUGCGAGUGAAGCGGGAAAAGCUCAAAUUUAAAAUCUGGUAGUCUGUUGGCUACCCGAGUUGUAAUCUAGAGAAGUGUUAUCCGCGCUGGACCAUGUACAAGUCUCCUGGAAUGGAGCGUCAUAGAGGGUGAGAAUCCCGUCUUUGACAUGGACUACCAGGGCUUUGUGAUACACUCUCAAAGAGUCGAGUUGUUUGGGAAUGCAGCUCUAAAUGGGUGGUAAAUUCCAUCUAAAGCUAAAUAUUGGCGAGAGACCGAUAGUGAACAAGUACCGUGAGGGAAAGAUGAAAAGAACUUUGGAAAGAGAGUUAAACAGUACGUGAAAUUGUUGAAAGGGAAACGCUUGAAGUCAGUCGCGUUGGCCAGGGAUCAAUCUUGCUUUUGUGCUUGGUGUAAUUUCUGGUUGAUGGGUCAGCAUCAGUUUUAACCAGUAGAAAAAAGUUAGGGAAAUGUGGCAUCUUCAGAUGUGUUAUAGUCCUUGAUUGUAUAUAUUGGUUGGGAUUGAGGUACUCAGCACGCCGCAAGGUCGGGUUUUUUUUAACCACGUUCGUGCUUAGGAUGCUGGCAUUAAUGGCUUUAAUCGA
rnacentral:rRNA from 1 species